rnacentral:rRNA from 1 species
GACAGGGGUGCCGAGCGUUAGGCGGAAUCACUGGGCUUAAAGCGCGUGUAGGUGGCGGCCUAAGUACCUUGUGAAAUCCUGCGGCUCAACCGCAGAACUGCUUGGUAUACUGGGUCGCUUGAGUCAUCCAGGGGCAACUGGAACAAGCGGUGGAGCGGUGAAAUGCGUAGAUAUCGCUUGGAACGCCAAAGGUGAAAACAGGUUGCUGGGGAUGUUCUGACACUGAGACGCGAAAGCCAGGGGAGCGAACGGG